rnacentral:lncRNA from 1 species
UCGAGGGUAAUGAAUGAAUAGAAUAUAAUGCUAAAAAUGAAGUUGUAUAUAUAUUAGUAAGGCUGAGGAUAUUUUAGCACCAAACAUUCAUUCGAUAAAAGCAUUAUAAACAUAGAGGAGCUGCGGCAGAAUACAACCCACAUGUGGAAUGCCUAAUAAAAUCUUACACUCUUUGAUUGGUUUUUUUGGGUUUUAGCUCCUCAUGGUUUGAGUUCAAUCAAAGAAAAGAAUUAGUUGUUGUAUUUUGAUCCACAAUUGUUGACUUGCCACUGCCCACUGAGAAAAGUUAAGUUGGAGAGAUGAUCAUGACAUGCAUCAGAAUUCAGAUUGAGACGAGAAACAGCUAUUUGUUUGAAAAUUAAACUCAGCCUCAGACUUAUACAGCUUCUUGGGUUGGAUAGGAAUAGGAUUGAGGAUUGGGGGGACAAAGUAAUAGUAUGCAUCAGAAAGGAUUAGGACAACUUAAUAUUUAAUUAUUUUCUCUUAACUUAUUAUAAAAAAACUUGUACUAAAUACGGCAUGCAACAUCUAUCUAUCUGUUCAUGAAUAAAAUAUGCCGCAAUAUCUUCAAUUCACAGCUUUAUCACAAACUGAAUCUUAUAGCUAGUAUUCAAUUUUCAUUAAUAAUUUUCUUUCUGUUGUACGUACUAUAUAAAAUGUAA